CACGUGCAUUUUGCACACCCACCCUUUGCACGCCCACCCCUUGCACGUGCAACCGUUGCACACUCGCUCCUCGCGUGCACGCCCCUUGCACAAAUGCCCCUUGCACGCCCUAUUUUGCACACACCCCCCUUUGCACGCCCGCCCCCGUGCGCAUGCAUUUUGCACACCCAACCCUGUGCACACCCAUCUUUGCACACGCACCCCGUGCACAGGCGGCCUUGCACUUGCAAGCUUUGCACGCGCACCCCUUGCACACCCACCCCGUGCACAAACAGCCCUUGCACCUGCAAGGUUUGCACACCCACCCCUUGCCAGCAGGUGCACCCCUUACACACUCACCCUCUGUACAUGCAAUUUGCACAUGCAUCCUUGCACACUCACCCAUGCACACUCCCUCCUUGUACAUGCAUGCUUUGCACGUACACCCCUUGCACAAUCACUCUGUGCACACUCACCCACGGACAAAAACCCCUUGCACACCCCACCCCAUGCACAGACACCCUGUGCACAAACACCCUGCAUACACUCACCCCGUGCAAACACCCCUUGCACACUCACUCCUUGCACACCCACACAUGCAUAAACUCCCCUUGCACACCCACCCCCUGAACACUUACCCCCUGCACAUGCAUGCUUUGCAAGUACACCGCUUGCACAAUCACCCUGUGCACACCCACCCAUGCACGAACACCACUUGCACACUCACCCCCGUGCACACUCGCCCAUGCACAAACCCCCCUUGCAAGCCCCACACCAUGCACAGACACACAUGCAUAAACUCCCCUCGCACAUCCACCCUGUUAAAGAACACCCCUUGCACACUCACCAUUGCAUACCCAGCCCCUGCACACUCACCCCGUGCACAGUCCCUCCGUGCACAUGCAUGCUUUGCACGUACACCCCUUGCACAGUCACCCUGUGCACACUCACCCACGCACAAACACCCCUUGCACACUCACCACGUGCACACCCCACCCCUUGCACACCCUACUUCAUGCACAAACACCCCUUGCACACUAACCUCUGCACACUCCCUCCGUGCACAUGCACACUUUGCAUGUACACCCCUUGCACACCCACCCAUGUACAAACACCCCUUGCACACUCAGCCUGUGAAUGCCCACCCCGUGCACACUCACCCAUACACUAAUGCCCGUUGCACACCCACCCUUGCACACUCACCCAUGCACACCCACCUCUUGCACACUCACCUCUUGCACACCCACCCCUUGCACACUCACCCCCUCCCUUCUCCCCCCCGUGCACGCCCACCCCUUGCACAAGCAGUUUCUCGGGGGUGGAGGGGGGCGGAGGG
rnacentral:lncRNA from 1 species